rnacentral:lncRNA from 1 species
UCAGCGUCACGGGUGCGAGAGUUGGCUCGGCUCUACAGCGAGCGGAUCCAGCAGAUGCAGCGAGCUGAGACUAGGGCAUCCACCAAUGCACCCCGCCGCAGACCUCGAGUCCUGGCCCAACCCCAGCCAUGCCCUUGCCCACCCCAGGAAGAGGCUGAACCAGGAGCCCUGCCUGCAUUUGGACAUGUGCUUGUAUGUGAGCUGGCCUUCCCACUGAACUGUGCCCAGGAGUCUGUCCCUCUGGGCCCUGCUGCUCUGGUUCAAGCUGCCACACCUUUGUGUACACAAGGAGAUGACCUGAGUGGCCAGAGUCUGACUGUUUCAGAUUUGCCCAAGCAAGGCCAUCUGAGUAAUAACUGCAUUCCACCUCCUGUCCCUUUGCCUGGGCAAAGCAACUUCCAGAGCCUCCAGGUUCCAUCUGCAUCCCUUUUGCCCAAGCAAGAUCCUCCAGAUGUUCAGCUCCCAACUGCCUCAACCUUGCCUGAUACAGGUCAGCUGCAAGUUCCAGCUGCGGCUCCUUCAACUGAGCAUAGAAACUAUGUGGAGAUCCAGGUUCAGUCCACCACCACUUCCCUUCCUGGCCAAGAGUGUCCGGCAGACUUUCAGAUGCCAACCACUGCGGCAUUGCCCAGGCAAGAAGGUCAUGAAGACAGCCGAAGCCCAAACAGUGCUCCAGGAGCCGAGCAAAGAGAUGUCGGCGUCGAUCAGGGCCCCACUGCUGUUGAUGGCCAAGCUGUCAGCCCUCUGCCAGCGUGCACAAGCAGCCCUGACCAUCAUCAGAUCCCAGCCACUCCGCUGCCAUUGUCACCUGACCUCCCAGACAUGGAGGGUGCUGGUGCCUUACCUCUGCCCGCACAGCAAGGUCAUCCAGACUGCUGCGUCCCAUGCGACCCUCUACCAUCUCUGCCCCAAGACGUUCAGACGCCAACGGUCAUCCCCAUGUCCCAGCCUCAAGGCCUUACAGACGUCAGGGCCAAAGUGCCCCCGUCUUUCCCCACACAGGAGGAAGCUCCAGAGUUUCUGGGUCCAGAGCCCAGCCUCACAGACACCCCAGCUCCCAGACUCUUACCUUCAUCAGGCCAACAGAACACCACAGAUGGCCAUGUUUCAACAGCUGCCGUGCCUUGCCCUGAACAAGGAUGCCCUCAAGAUAUUCAAGGCCUAAUAACUUCCCCGGUCCAGACGACCAUGGAGCUACCCAAACCAAGGGGUUUAGUCUCUCGGGUUGCCACUUCAGAGUCUCUGGACUUGACCCCGCCACAUAGCCCCUCGCUGUCCACUCGCCAGCUCCUGGGACCCAGCGCAGCUGCCCUCUCAAGGUACCUGGCAGCUUCGUACAUCAGCCAGAGCUUGGCUCGGCGCCAGGGCCCUGGGGGAGAGGGCAUGGCAGCCUCCCAGGGUCACUGGUCCUCCUCUGCCCCCACAUCACGGGCACCUUCACCCCCACCUCAGCCCCAGCCCCCAGCUCCUCCAGCUAGGAGGCUCAGCUAUGCCACCACAGUGAGCAUUCAGGUAGGAGGUGGUGGGAGGCUACGACCAGCUAGAGCUCAGGUCCGGCUAAACCACCCUGCUCUCUUGGCAGCCCCCCACCCAGGAGCCUUCGGGCCUUCCCAGGGCCCAGAAGGCUCCUGAUACUACUUUUCAUAUGUAAGCCUGGACACUGGCUUCAAGAACAUUCACCAGGUGCCACCCAUCCCUAUGACAUCCAGAGUCUGGACAUGGGUCCAGAAAUGGCUGUAGCUUUCUAGCUCCAGGAAUCUGCCCACAGAUGGCCCUCCUGAGGGCGUGGUUAUUUUGUUAAUUUUAUAAAAUGCUGUGGUUUUGACUUUCUUGAGGUCCUUCUCUGCCCCCAUGAGUGGGUGAAGACACCAUGAAUGGGAAGGGCUGAUGUAGGCCAGAAUGUCGAAGCUCUAAGAACAUUUGCC